rnacentral:rRNA from 1 species
UACGGAAGAUCCAAGCGUUAUCCGGAAUUACUGGGCGUAAAGAGUUGCGUAGGCGGCAAGUAAAGCGAACAGUGAAAGGUCCCGGCUCAACCGGGGAUACAUUGUUCGAACUCACCAGCUAGAGCACAGCAGAGGUACCUGGAAUUCCCAGUGUAGGAGUGAAAUCCGUAGAUAUUGGGAGGAACACCGAUGGCGUAGGCAGGGUACUGGGCUGUUGCUGACGCUAAGGCACGAAAGCGUGGGGAGCGAACGGG